AUCAAGCGUUUGAACAAGGUUUACAGCAGAGAACAGGCACCCAACGGAGAGACAAGUCUACCAUUAAUGCACCAAAGAUCCAGCUGAUUUCUGGCAAUUUGGAGGAGGAUUCUUCUUCUGCUACAUUGCACUGUCACUUCAGAUUCAUUGACCUUUUGUGUGUGGGACAACAUUUCUCUUUAAAAACUACAGCAAUUGGUCUCCUCAGUUCCCAAAUGUUUACAGAGCGUUGUUAAAAGAAGAGGUGAUGCAACACAGUGGUAAACACGCCCCUGUCCUUUCUUGAAAUCUGUUGCUGACAUCAAAUUCAA